GACGAACGCUGGCGGCGUGCCUAAUACAUGCAAGUAGAACGCUGAAGAGAGGAGCUUGCUCUUCUUGGCUGAGUUGCGAACGGGUGAGUAACGCGUAGGUAACCUGCCUUGUAGCGGGGGAUAACUAUUGGAAACGAUAGCUAAUACCGCAUAACAAUGGAUGACACAUGUCAUUUAUUUGAAAGGGGCAAUUGCUCCACUACAAGAUGGACCUGUGUUGUAUUAGCUAGUAGGUGAGGUAAUGGCUCACCUAGGCGACGAUACAUAGCCGACCUGAGAGGGUGAUCGGCCACACUGGGACUGAGACACGGCCCAGACUCCUACGGGAGGCAGCAGUAGGGAAUCUUCGGCAAUGGGGGCAACCCUGACCGAGCAACGCCGCGGGAGUGAAGAAGGUUUUCGGAUCGUAAAGCUCUGUUGUAAGUCAAGAACGGGUGUGAGAGUGGAAAGUUCACACUGUGACGGUAGCUUACCAGAAAGGGACGGCUAACUACGUG
rnacentral:rRNA from 1 species